rnacentral:rRNA from 1 species
UACGGAGGGAGCUAGCGUUGUUCGGAAUUACUGGGCGUAAAGCGCACGUAGGCGGCUACUCAAGUCAGAGGUGAAAGCCCAGGGCUCAACCUUGGAACUGCCUUUGAAACUAGGUAACUAGAAUUCUGGAGAGGUCAGUGGAAUUCCGAGUGUAGAGGUGAAAUUCGUAGAUAUUCGGAAGAACACCAGUGGCGAAGGCGACUGACUGGACAGAUAUUGACGCUGAGGUGCGAAAGCGUGGGGAGCAAACAGG